UAAUACAGAGGUGGCAAGCGUUGUUCGGAAUUACUGGGCGUAAAGGGCGCGUAGGCGGCCUUAUAAGUCUCGUGUGAAAGCCCUCGGCUUAACUGAGGAUCUGCACGGGAUACUGUAAGGCUUGAGUUCGGGAGAGGAAAGCGGAAUUCCGGGUGUAGCGGUGAAAUGCGUAGAUAUCCGGAGGAACACCAGUGGCGAAGGCGGCUUUCUGGACCGACACUGACGCUGAGGCGCGAAAGCUAGGGGAGCAAACGGGAUUAGAUAC
rnacentral:rRNA from 1 species